AUGGAGAUUAUAUCAACUUGGAGUAAAAGACGAAUCAUCUUGGAUACAAAUACAAGCAAGAAGAUCAAGGUACAUGUAGUUGUGAUGUUAAGAUGGAAGGCGAUGUCGUUGGUGGUACCGUGGCCGUCCCUGCUUGACCAGCGUAACCUCGAGACUGCAUCCAUCCAAAAUCAUUUUGCCAAAAGCAUCUAUGGCAUCUUGUGGAUGAGCAUACACCGUCGACAUGGUUACAAAACCGACACCCUGGGAGCACUUGGUAUCUUUGUGGUAGAGUACCUCGGCGCUAGUCACUUUGCCGUGCUUGCCGAAAAAAAGUUCCAGCUGGGAGCCAUUCACCGUGAUAGGCAAAUUACGCACCAUCACCCUGAAACAAGGCUCGUAAUGUUUCGAGAAGUGAAUAAUGCUUGGUAG
rnacentral:rRNA from 1 species